CUAGAUUUGAAGGAACCCCGACGAGACGCGCCGUACCGGGUCGAAGGCAAAGACGACGCACC
rnacentral:ncRNA from 1 species